rnacentral:rRNA from 1 species
CCUCGGGCGGCAGCAGUGGGGAAUAUUGGACAAUGGGCGAAAGCCUGAUCCAGCCAUGCCGCGUGUGUGAAGAAGGCCUUCGGGUUGUAAAGCACUUUCAGUGGGGAAGAAAGCCUUGGGGCUAAUACCCUCGAGGAAGGACAUCACCCACAGAAGAAGCACCGGCUAACUCCGUGCCAGCAGCCGCGGUAAUACGGAGGGUGCGAGCGUUAAUCGGAAUUACUGGGCGUAAAGCGCGCGUAGGCGGUCUGAUAAGCCGGUUGUGAAAGCCCCGGGCUCAACCUGGGAACGGCAUCCGGAACUGUCAGGCUAGAGUGCAGGAGAGGAAGGUAGAAUUCCCGGUGUAGCGGUGAAAUGCGUAGAGAUCGGGAGGAAUACCAGUGGCGAAGGCGGCCUUCUGGACUGACACUGACGCUGAGGUGCGAAAGCGUGGGUAGCAAACAGGAUUAGAUACCCUAGUAGUC